GCUGCGGUACUAGAGGCUGGGGCACCAGAGGCUGGGGCAAUAGAGGCUGGGGCACCAGAGGCUGGGGCAAUAGAGGCUGGGGCACUAUAGGUACUAGAGGCUGGGGUACUAGAGGCUGGGGUACUAGAGGCUGGGGCACUAGAGGCUGGGGCACUAGAGGCAAGGGUACUAGAGGCUGGGGUACUAGAGGCCUGCGUGAGGAGCAUCCGAUCGGACAGCGAGAGGUAUUCCGCAUAUCGGAGAGGCUUGGAUAAAUGUUUUGGUGGAGAACAGCCGUGGGCUCAUGGAGGACUGUCAGUCAUGCGGGGGGAGAGGGGGGGGGUAAGCAGCCUCCUCAAGCCAACCAAGACCGUCAAUCAUAACGAAAAUUAAGAAGGAAAAGGGAGACAAAUACUAGAGUCAAUGGGCUGGGGGUGGAUCCACCAGUCUGCAAACACGGAACAUAACCUUCCGUCUUUAGACCAAUUACACAGCACGACGAGGUCCUUAGGAGAAUAAAGAAUAGGUCAAGACGAUUAUGGAACACAAAAGACAUUUGGCUGGUGUUUUUCUGCCUUCGCUCAGCCACUCCAAAAGACAAAUUCACCAGAAGAAGAGCGCCAAAAAAAAGGACAUAAUCCAAACCAUAAUAAUCCAGAAGUAAGUGUAGCGCGUGGAAACGGUGAUGGGGUGAGGUAGAGGUGGGUGGGUGGGGGGGGGGUGAAAUAGGGGAUGGGGGGGUGGAGUAGGGGGUUUGGGCGUGUCCGGAGAAACAGGAGAAACUCAACUCAACCCAGCGGAGCCCAGUUGGUGCGCAGCCUCAGAACGGGCUGUGAUGUGUUGAGGGUCUGACCCCGUUGCAUCACCGCAGCACCGCAUGAUGACUGGCCCCACGCCGCCUCCAACCCACACCCCCUCAGCGCCGCCCCGGCCGCCUCACACCCCCCUCUAAACCACAGGCUAUUCAGACGCUGCCCCCACAACAGUCAUUUGCAUUCAGUGCACUUAAGUCUCUCAUUGUGCUCCGACACAAAGACGCUUCCCAGAGCUCAGCACACAUAUUACACAUAUAGCCCCCCUCCAGGGUCCUAUUACACAUAUAGCCCCCCAGGGUCCUAUUACAC
ensembl:lncRNA